GCUUUCUUUGCUGACGAGUGGCGGACGGGUGAGUAAUGCUUGGGAAUCUGGCUUAUGGAGGGGGAUAACUACGGGAAACUGUAGCUAAUACCGCGUAAUAUCGAGAGAUUAAAGGGUGGGACUUUCGGGCCACCUGCCAUAAGAUGAGCCCAAGUGGGAUUAGGUAGUUGGUUAGGUAAAGGCUGACCAAGCCGACGAUCUCUAGCUGGUCUGAGAGGAUGACCAGCCACACUGGAACUGAGACACGGUCCAGACUCCUACGGGAGGCAGCAGUGGGGAAUAUUGCACAAUGGGGGGAACCCUGAUGCAGCCAUGCCGCGUGAAUGAAGAAGGCCUUCGGGUUGUAAAGUUCUUUCGGUAGCGAGGAAGGCGUGGUGUUUAAUAGACACUGCGAUUGACGUUAACUACAGAAGAAGCACCGGCUAACUCCGUGCCAGCAGCCGCGGUAAUACGGGGGGUGCGAGCGUUAAUCGGAAUAACUGGGCGUAAAGGGCACGCAGGCGGUGACUUAAGUGAGAUGUGAAAGCCCCGAGCUUAACUUGGGAAUUGCAUUUCAUACUGGGUCGCUAGAGUACUUUAGGGAGGGGUAGAAUUCCACGUGUAGCGGUGAAAUGCGUAGAGAUGUGGAGGAAUACCGAAGGCGAAGGCAGCCCCUUGGGAAUGUACUGACGCUCAUGUGCGAAAGCGUGGGGAGCAAACAGGAUUAGAUACCCUGGUAGUCCACGCUGUAAACGAUGUCGAUUUGGGGGUUGGGCUUUAAGCUUGGCGCCCGUAGCUAUCGUGAUAAAUCGACCGCCUGGGGAGUACGGCCGCAAGGUUAAAACUCAAAUGAAUUGACGGGGGCCCGCACAAGCGGUGGAGCAUGCGGUUUAAUUCGAUGCAACGCGAAGAACCUUACCUACUCUUGACAUCCAAAGCA
rnacentral:rRNA from 1 species